rnacentral:rRNA from 1 species
GAUGAACGCUGGCGGCGUGCUUAACACAUGCAAGUCGAACGGACUUUACAUGAAGCCUAGCGAUUGUAAAGUUAGUGGCGGACGGGUGAGUAACGCGUGAAUAACCUGCCUUAUACUGGGGGACAACAGUUGGAAACGACUGCUAAUACCGCAUAAGCGCACUAAAGCUGCAUGGCUCAGUGUGAAAAACUCCGGUGGUAUAAGAUGGAUUCGCGUCUGAUUAGCUGGUUGGUGGGGUAACGGCGUCACCAAGGCGACGAUCAGUAGCCGGCCUGAGAGGGUGAACGGCCACAUUGGGACUGAGACACGGCCCAAACUCCUACGGGAGGCAGCAGUGGGGAAUAUUGCACAAUGGGGGAAACCCUGAUGCAGCAACGCCGCGUGAGUGAUGACGGCCUC